CGCUGGCGGCACGCCUAACACAUGCAAGUCGAACGAAGUAGCAAUACUUAGUGGCAGACGGGUGAGUAACAUGUAGGUAUCUACCCCAUGGCCUGGAAUAACACGAGGAAACUUGUGCUAAUACCGGAUAAGUCUUUACGGAGAAAGCUUUAUGCACCAUUGGAUGAGCCUGCACUUGAUUAGUUUGUUGGUAGGGUAAUGGCCUACCAAGACUUUGAUCAAUAGCUGAUUUGAGAGGAUGAUCAGCCACAUUGGGACUGAGACACGGCCCAAACUCCUACGGGAGGCAGCAGUGGGGAAUCUUGCACAAUGGAGGAAACUCUGAUGCAGCGAUGCCGCGUGAGUGAAGAAGGCCCUUGGGUUGUAAAGCUCUUUCGUCGGGGAAGAAAAUGACUGUACCCGAAUAAGAAGGUCCGGCUAACUUCGUGCCAGCAGCCGCGGUAAUACGAAGGGACCUAGCGUAGUUCGGAAUUACUGGGCUUAAAGAGUUCGUAGGUGGUUGAAAAAGUUGGUGGUGAAAUCCCAGAGCUUAACUCUGGAACUGCCAUCAAAACUUUUCAGCUUGAGUUUGAUAGAGGAAAGCAGAAUUUCUAGUGUAGAGGUGAAAUUCGUAGAUAUUAGAAAGAAUACCAAUUGCGAAGGCAGCUUUCUGGAUCAUUACUGACACUGAGGAACGAAAGCAUGGGUAGCGAAGAGGAUUAGAUACCCUCGUAGUCCAUGCCGUAAACGAUGUGUGUUAGACGUUGGAAAUUUAUUUUCAGUGUCGCAGCGAAAGCGAUAAACACACCGCCUGGGGAGUACGACCGCA
rnacentral:rRNA from 1 species